rnacentral:rRNA from 1 species
CCUACGGGAGGCAGCAGUGGGGAAUAUUGGACAAUGGGGGGAACCCUGAUCCAGCGACGCCGCGUGAGUGAAGAAGUAUUUCGGUAUGUAAAGCUCUAUUAGCAGGGAAGAAAAUGACGGUACCUGACUAAGAAGCACCGGCUAACUACGUGACAGCAGCCGCGGUAAUACGUAGGGGGCAAGCGUUAUCCGGAUUUACUGGGUGUAAAGGGAGCGUCGACGGUGCAGCAGGUCCGAUGUGAAAGGUCGGGGCCCAACCCCGGGACUGCAGUGGAAACUGUUGAACUGGAGUGCAGGAGAGGUAGGCGGAAUUCCUGGUGUAGCGGUGAAAUGCGUAGAUAUUAGGAGGAACACCGGUGGCGAAGGCAGCUUACUGGCCUGUAACUGACGUUGAGGCUCGAAAGCGUGGGGAGCAAACAGGAUUAGAUACCCGAGUAGUC